GGAGACAAAAGGUAAAAUACCAGCCUGGUUAUGUUGUAUAAUUAUGACUGAAGCUGCUUAAUGUCAAAAUUCACUUUGAAAUGCUAUAUUUUCAGAUAUUUAUUUUGAAAAUGCUCAAGUUCAAUUUUGGUAGGCAUACAUAAAAAUCAAACCUUUGAAUGUGGUUAGAUAGAAAGUAGGAGAAUAGAAACAAGUAGUGAAGGUAAUCUGGCCCCUAAGGAGUUACAGCUGUGCUAAUUAUCAAGCAUUAAGAACAAGCCUGCUCUUAAUAGGCCACAGCUGGAUCCAAUUAAGAGGGGUGUUAUAAAAGAGAAGGUUGGCUGGUCGAGAGGGGUGAUGGAGUUUGUUGCCUGUGCUGAGAAGAAGGAGUCAGUGCUAUGAGGAGCUGCUUGUGAGAAACCACCGAGAAGGAAAAGAAGAUUAAAGACUUGGUUAAUAUACUUUAGAACAUCAUUUUACGACAUAUUUUAAUUUCCAUGAUGAAAGAUGGAAAACAAUAACUGCUAUUCUUGAGUUAUACCAUUGAAGGACAGAGAAGAAAGCACAGGAAUAUUUUAUUCACUGCUGAGCAGCACUUACACAGCCUCAAGGACUUCUCUGUCCAUGACCACUGAGGAGUCUGGAGGUACACAAGAAGAUGAGACAGGGCACAACAAGGACAGCUGCCCUCAGCUGUCCAAAUGGAUAUUCCAGACCCUAUGAUGUCAUGCUUCGCAUGAAAAAUUGGGAGAAAAGGAAGGUGGGUUGUUCGGAGCAAAGAUGUUUGUCUUCCCAAGUCACCAUUACAUGUGAUAUAGCACUGCUUUCCUAGAGAUGGCUGAACACUUGCCUGUCCAUGGGAAUUAGUGAACAAAUUCCAUUUUGUUUAUUUUGGCUUGCUGUGUCUAUUAAACACUCUUUAUCUCAAACGAUGAAUUUUCUCACUUUUGCCCUUUCGAUUCUUCUCUCAUCCCACUGGGGUAGAGUGAGCAAUCAUAUCUCUGGGCAUUACUUCCCAGCUGGGGCUAAACCACAAUAACAACCGUAUAUGUGAAAUCAGGAAUUUAUUGUCUAAUUUAAAAAAAAAAAAUUAAAAAUUGCAGUUGAAAUUCUGCAAAUUAUUGAUACUGUUAAUCAACAUAAAGUAAAUACUGACAAUACUGACAGUCCACAAAUACCUUAAAUUGAUCCAAAUAAAAACAAACAAAAAACCAAAACAACAAAUUGCAAGAAAAGUCUUCACUCUGGUAUUAAUGCCCACUCUCAUUAUUUCCCUAACCCCAAGACUGAUGGGUUUGUCUACACUAAAAGGAAUAUCGGUUUGGCACCAACUUGGAGCUCCCCUUCUAGAAGACUGUGAUGCUAAUGUGGGGAUUUACUACAUUAUUUUCACCAACAGAAGCACAGUUGCAAUAUUGUGGGUUUUUAGGGUUGAUUGGUUUGGGUCUUAGGAAUUUUUUUUUUAUAUAUUCUGGCUGAGUUUUUUUGGAAUAAUUUCUGUGUCUUUUCUAAAUUUCUUUACACCUUCUUUCUUCAUCACCCCUGCAACUUAGUGCAUGCUAGAAAUAUUAGAUGCUUUAUAUUUGUCCUUUUCAUAAUCCCUGAAAUUAUUUUUCACCCAAUUUCUUAGUUUGUGAGCAGUUUUGAGUUAUUUGCCACCCUGUGACUUCCCACAUCAUCCUACACUCAGAUAUUUGAAGCAUCUGAUGUCAUCCCAUGUCUGUACUCCUUUAUUCAGCAUCAUUAGAAAGAUUAUAGGUGGGUCAUUUUACACAGCAUAACUACUUUUUUUUGGCAUUUAUAUAAAAAUUAUUAACAAGAAGAGUUAGGGCAUUCAAUUAUAGAAAUACAAAUAAAAACUAGACAAAUUGGACAAAUUAUGUUUUAGCCACCUGGUCAUUAGACAACUGUUACAACCAAGCAAGCUAAAACAAGCUGCAAACAAGAUAAUUCAAGCUCAGUCAGAGCUUGGCAAAUCCAGAAUUCUAGCAUAUGCUAAUAAAAACCCUGUCAAUUGAUACUAAUAGAGAGAGUAUUAUACUUAUCAGACUGCUGGGCUACACCCUGUACUCCCUCCUUGUGCCUUUUAAGAACGCUUUCCAUCAUUUGCCUGAUGAAUUAAAAUUGCUUGUGAAUUAAAGUUGCAUCUUGUACUCUUGUUAUACUUUUUGGUUUAUACCUUCUAUUACAAGGACAUAUGUGGAUGUUAUGUUUUUCUCUGUUGAUCUCUCAAGCAAGAAUGACAAUUAUUUUCAGAAAUUAUUCAUUAUAUUGCAUAAGAUGUUAAUUUUUAUAGAUGGAGGACAUAAGAUAUGCAACACAGUCAGUAUAAAUACACAGUGAAGCCAAGGUACCUUAAAAUGUCAUUGGAGCUCUUGCAAACAUGUCAGAUUUUUAUGUUAGUAGUUUGUCUUGAGAGACUUAAUCUGCCUCAAUUCUUUAACAAAUCUAAUCAUGGCUCUUCCAAGAAAAGGUCCAUUUCUUUUUCUAACCCAAAGAAUUGCCAGCAACCAGUAAAAAUUUGAUGAGAAACUAAAUUAAAGCAGAAUGGAUGUGCAUAAGUGGUGUUUUUUGUUAAAUAAAAAUAUUAUUUCUAGUAAAA